UCGCGGCUUAUCACCGGCAGUCUCCUUAGAGUGCUCAACUAAAUGGUAGCAACUAAGGACGGGGGUUGCGCUCGUUGCGGGACUUAACCCAACACCUCACGGCACGAGCUGACGACAGCCGUGCAGCACCUGUGACCGACGCCCUUGCGGGCACACCACCUUUCGAUGGCUUUUCCGGCCAUGUCAAGCCCUGGUAAGGUUCUUCGCGUUGCGUCGAAUUAAACCACACGCUCCGCUGCUUGUGCGGGCCCCCGUCAAUUCCUUUGAGUUUUAGCCUUGCGGCCGUACUCCCCAGGCGGGCCACUUAACGCGUUAGCUGCGGCGCGGAGGGGGUCGAUACCCCCCACACCUAGUGGCCAUCGUUUACGGCGUGGACUAC
rnacentral:misc_RNA from 1 species